CGUAUCACUUAAAGCGAUUCAGCGGGUUACGAUUGACGGAGCGAAGCGACGUCAAAGCGUAUACAAAGUCGAGUCGGUUUAAGGAUACGUUCGUUGGGUAGGGGAGCGUUCUGUAAGCCUGUGAAGGUGUGUCGUGAGGCAUGCUGGAGGUAUCAGAAGUGCGAAUGCUGACAUAAGUAACGAUAAAGCGGGUGAAAAGCCCGCUCGCCGGAAGACCAAGGGUUCCUGUCCAACGUUAAUCGGGGCAGGGUGAGUCGACCCCUAAGGCGAGGCCGAAAGGCGUAGUCGAUGGGAAACGGGUUAAUAUUCCCGUACUUGGUGUUACUGCGAAGGGGGGACGGAGAAGGCUAUGUUGGCCGGGCGACGGUUGUCCCGGUUUAAGCGUGUAGGUGUGUGUUCCAGGUAAAUCCGGUUCACUUUAACACUGAGGCGUGACGACGAGGCACUACGGUGCUGAAGCAACAAAUGCCCUGCUUCCAGGAAAAGCCUCUAAGCAUCAGGUAACAUCAAAUCGUACCCCAAACCGACACAGGUGGUCAGGUAGAGAAUACCAAGGCGCUUGAGAGAACUCGGGUGAAGGAACUAGGCAAAAUGGUGCCGUAACUUCGGGAGAAGGCACGCUGACACGUAGGUGAAGUGAUUUACUCACGGAGCUGAAGUCAGUCGAAGAUACCAGCUGGCUGCAACUGUUUAUUAAAAACACAGCACUGUGCAAACACGAAAGUGGACGUAUACGGUGUGACGCCUGCCCGGUGCCGGAAGGUUAAUUGAUGGGGUCAGCGCAAGCGAAGCUCCUGAUCGAAGCCCCGGUAAACGGCGGCCGUAACUAUAACGGUCCUAAGGUAGCGAAAUUCCUUGUCGGGUAAGUUCCGACCUGCACGAAUGGCGUAAUGAUGGCCAGGCUGUCUCCACCCGAGACUCAGUGAAAUUGAACUCGCUGUGAAGAUGCAGUGUACCCGCGGCAAGACGGAAAGACCCCGUGAACCUUUACUAUAGCUUGACACUGAACAUUGAGCCUUGAUGUGUAG
rnacentral:rRNA from 1 species